rnacentral:rRNA from 1 species
AGUGAACGCUGGCGGUAUGCCUAACACAUGCAAGUCGAACGGCAGCACAGUAAGAGCUUGCUCUUACGGGUGGCGAGUGGCGGACGUGUGAGGAAUACAUCGGAAUCUACUUUUUCGUGGGGGAUAACGUAGGGAAACUUACGCUAAUACCGCAUACGACCUACGGGUGAAAGCAGGGGAUCUUCUGACCUUGCGCGAUUGAAUGAGCCGAUGUCGGAUUAGCUAGUUGGCGGGGUAAAGGCCCACCAAGGCGACGAUCCGUAGCUGGUCUGGGAGGAUGAUCAGCCACACUGGAACUGAGACACGGUCCAGACUCCUACGGGAGGCAGCAGUGGGGAAUAUUGGACAAUGGGCGCAAGCCUGAUCCAGCCAUACCGCGUGGGUGAAGAAGGCCUUCGGGUUGUAAAGCCCUUUUGUUGGGAAAGAAAAGCAGCAGGUUAAUACCCCGCUGUUCUGACGGUACCAAAAGAAUAAGCACCGGCUAACUUCGUG